UCCGCCCGCGCGGUUCGCUUCGUAUCGUUUCGUCCGUCCGGCUCCCCGCGCGAUCGUCCUGCCACUAAUUCCGUCCUUUUUUUCCCCGCUUCCCUCCAUCCUCCGCCUGCGCCGCCGGUUGCCAUCCCGCCUGCCCGCUUGCGCGGUCGACGGCCCAAUCGCCGCCCAUGCCGCUGCCCGACACACCGCCCCGCUACAGAUCCGCCGUUCUGAUGCGCGCCGCGGCUUCUCCGUCCCUGCGCAUCAUCCCAUCACACCACGGCCCCCACAACGAUGAGGAACGCCACAGCGGCGGCGGUAGCCCGUGAAGGAGCGCCUUUCCGUAGCAACGCACGCGACCACUCCGACGCCGCUGCGUCCUUCGACUCCAACGGCGCUGAUGGCCCUCCGAGUCCGAGGCCAACGUCCCCUCCGACGCCGCGACCUGCUCUCCGAUCGGCCGUGGCACUCCGUAGGUGCCCACGGAGAUCACGCUGAUCCGAUCUGUCGCAGCCUUGCCUAUCUGCUUUCCCUCCGAUGACGCUGUCCCUUCGUGGCUUCAGGAUCCAUCACGAGGGAACGAGUCUUCUGGUUGCCUUGCCGCUGCAACACCACGUACGUGCGGAGGCUCGCCACGCCAAGAGAAGAAACAAGAGAAAAAAAGAGAAGUCAGUAGUUUUGAAAGGGGAUGUCACUUCAGCCAGGGUUUUAGAGAGUAGAAGAACUGAGCAAUGACAGUAGGAGUCCUAGCAAUACAGUCUCAAUAGAUGAACUAGACAAACCAUUUGCAGUAGUUGUUGAUGAUGUUAUUCGAAAAAUGAGCGCACAGAUAUAUGCCACACAAUCGCUGCUCUAAAUUAUUUUGCUAUAAAUGAGAACUCACCUAAUUUAAGGAUAUUUGCUUUGCCUGGUAGAGAAGGAUUUGACGGAUGUUUGCUGUUUCCUGAACGUUAUGGUCGAUGUUGUCGUCAUCCUUUUGGGGCCUAUAAUGUGGAGGUUGUUGAUCAGCACGGACAAACGGCAAAAGUGAAGCUUCAAAACACUGCCAAGUGAUCAUGACUUUAGAGGGGACUUCCUCUGUUUCAACUACCCCAUGAUAAGUCUACAGUUGAUAUGCAAAUCUGAUUCUAAGGUAGAGGGGGCAAGGUAUAUUUAUUUACUGUUUCUGUUAUAUGAUAGUAGAAUGGAUGUUUGUGUCUUUAUCUCCAUAAACAUGCUUGUGAACAUGUUUAAUUGAGCUGUGUAACGAUCAGCUCUAUAGUUUUUAGGCAGUUUCUAGAGAUGUUCUUAUGCCAUAUUAUUUUUGAAGCCUUCAAUUACCAUGUGCAAUGGGGUGCACGAUGUACUUCAAAAGCAUAUGUACUUUUUUUAUAUAAUUCCAAACUACAAGCUUCAAGUACGAGAUUUUCGUAUGCUAUGUUUGUUUAUGCUUGUUUUUUUUAUCAAGCAACAUGUUUUUUUGUGGGUAAAAAAAAUCAUGUUAAGAUCAAAUUAUGGUACUUGUGCUCUAUGU